rnacentral:misc_RNA from 1 species
ACGUUGAUACGCAUAUUGAUUGUGCGUGAGUUGUCCUCUAUCCAAGAAACGGGAUUGGGUUUAAAGGGAGCAAGUAUGUGGGUCCAGGAGGACUAGCCCGAGUGCUAAGCAUUCUUGGUAUGUUCUCCUCGCUCAUUGUUCAUCACUCUAU